GGAGAGACGUCUGGUAGCAGGCUGUGAAGCGUGUGGGAGACGUUGAGCGUCCGGCGUCUGUCGAGGACGUAGUGGAUAGUGUCGCCUGGUUUGAAACUGCUCUUCACAACCGAAACGUCCCUCUCAGCAUCCAGGAAACGCAGGACAUCCUUCCUGUAUGUUAGUCAGAAGAGAAGUGGACUGUAGUGAAGUCUCCUGUUGUGACAGAUGUAAGCAUGUAUCCAACAUGACAGCGACAAACAGUAUGGUGUCUCAAAAACAUCUAACGCAAAGCAAGAUGAUGAAGAAAGAAACCACAGUAUAUGAAGCACCCUAAAAUGCUGGUGCAAUGUGUUCCAGUCAACCUGCUGCAAAGUUUGAAACAUUAGGUGGGCCAGAAAAAAAAACAUGAAGAUAAAUGAGCAAAAAUAGCAAAAAAGAUAAAUGAGCAAAAAUGGCCUACAUUUUUCACAGCGAGUCAAAUAGCAAUAUCUUGAUUGGCUUUGUAAUUACAAUAUGCUGCAUGGGGGGAAAAAGGAAGCACGGAAAUCAGUCCCAGAACAAAGGCUCGGCUAAAUGGGCAAAGAGCCUCUUAUGUCAUACAGUAAUGAGAGUUUUGCAGUUUUCUGUCUCUUUUUCGCUGUCUCAGAGGGCUAUGUGUUCUAUUGCAGUCCAACGUCGACGAUUCCCUAGACACGGAGACAGAGGGGCAGGCCGCUAUUCUUAGGCAUGGAAGGCACAUUUCCACAAUAAAAAGAAAAGUUGUCUCACCGCAAAUUAAGCGCAUACGCAGUUGCGUAGCCAGAAAUUAGCUGGUGGGUGGGCCUGCAGCUAACUUCCUUAAAUUAUAGACAUUUUGCAAUAGGGCAAAGUUUCAGUUUCAUAGCUAAUCUCAUGCUAUUCUACACAUUAUGCCAUGAGGCUGAGAGAAAAGUAAAGCUAAAAUAAAUGUGUGUUGGCUGUGAUAAAGGCACUGGAUUAUGAGCGGUCUUGUUUGCUAAAUGAACAAAUGAAGUAAGCUGUGGCAUGGUGCAUAUAGCCAUAGAAACACAGUGACAGAUGCCUCAAUGCAGUCAUAUUCACAGCUUAUCGGGGGUGUGGCUUUCAGUUAGUUAUUUUUGGCAACACAUCCCGUGAGAGUGAAUGUCAUCCCAGUUCACCUGUUAUGUUAUAUUUCAUCAAAUCUGACUAACCCAGUGCACUGUUUGCUAUAAAUUCUAUCUGACGGUGUUUGCAUGUUUAGGUAAAACAGUCGGUGGCAAAAAACGAAGACAACCUUCUACAAUGACAACCUCCCCAAAGUUACAGUAUAAUACAACAGUGUUGUAAGAAUAUAAUAAGUAUCUCAACUCCUUUAUGAUAUCAUGUAUAGAAAUAGUACACAGACUUCUUCAGAAGUAGUACAUAAGUAAUAUAGACUUAUUGACAAGAGUGUUUGUAAUGAAAAGGAACGACCUUCGGUAUAGAUUCUUAUGCCAUUAAAUGCAGUCAAAUUA